AGAGUGAACGCUGGCGGUAGGCCUAACACAUGCAAGUCGAACGGCAGCACAGUGGUAGCAAUACCAUGGGUGGCGAGUGGCGGACGGGUGAGGAAUACAUCGGAAUCUACCUUUUCGUGGGGGAUAACGUAGGGAAACUUACGCUAAUACCGCAUACGCCCUUCGGGGGAAAGCCGGGGAUCGCAAGACCUGGCGCGGAUAGAUGAGCCGAUGUCGGAUUAGCUAGUUGGUGAGGUAAUGGCUCACCAAGGCGACGAUCCGUAGCUGGUCUGAGAGGAUGAUCAGCCACACUGGAACUGAGACACGGUCCAGACUCCUACGGGAGCAGCAGUGGGGAAUAUUGGACAAUGGGCGCAAGCCUGAUCCAGCCAUACCGCGUGGGUGAAGAAGGCCUUGGUUGUAAAGCCCUUUGUUGGAAAGAAAGCAAUCGGUUAAUACCCGGUUGUUCUGACGUACCAAAGAAUAAGCACCGCUAACUCGUGCCAGCAGCCG
rnacentral:rRNA from 1 species